UACGUAGGGGGCAAGCGUUGUCCGGAUUUAUUGGGCGUAAAGGGCGCGUAGGCGGCUUUGUAAGUCAAAGGUGAAAUCCCUCGGCUCAACUGAGGAACUGCCUUUGAAACUGCAAGGCUUGAGGCCGGGAGGGGGUAGGCGGAAUUCCCAAUGUAGCGGUGAAAUGCGUAGAUAUUGGGAGGAACACCAGUGGCGAAGGCGGCUACCUGGACCGGUUCUGACGCUGAUGCGCGAAAGCGUGGGUAGCAAACAGG
rnacentral:rRNA from 1 species